GCAAACCCUGGGUUUUCCGUCUUAUAUGAAAUUUUUUUAUAAUUCGUAUUUUCAUUGUUGUUAGAUGAUAAAACAUGAUUAAUAUUUUAUGUGUGACUUGUCUUUUUAAUUUUUUUCAUAAUUUUUUUAAAUAAGACGGACGGUCAAACGUUAGACACGGAAACCAAGG
rfam:Oryza sativa (indica cultivar-group) chromosome 6, whole genome shotgun sequence.